rnacentral:lncRNA from 7 species
AUCAUGGCGGGCGGCCCGAGGGGCGCGGGCUCCGCUGAGGUGAGGCGGUGCCGCCCGCUCCCGUGAGGCGCGGCUCCGCGUCGGGUACGGAGCGGCCGUUUGGCAUCAAACUGUCGCCCUCCGCUGAUGGGAUCGGUGAUGUCCCGACCCCAAGUGGACGCCCGCUGAGGGGUUUAUUCUUCUCGGCAAAGCCUGAGCGGGCGGUGAGGAGCUCCUGAGCUGCCCGGUCGGCCCUGCGGCCCACCAGGUUCACCUGAAUCUCAUCUCCAUCCAAGCUGCACCACAGGCUGAUCACUGGCUUUGGGUUUAGUGCAAACCCAGGAGUCUCGUGGGAACCAACACUGCAGCAGCUCCCAGUCCAGGCCUGCCGUGUCAGACACCAGAGGAACAGAUCCACACCAGGUGACAGAUGGAAGCACCGUGAUGGGGCUGAGGAAAAGGAAGGCAGCACACAUACCCUUCACCAUCACAUCUGAGCAUGGGAGAGCCAACGCGCCAUGCAGCCUUGCUGCAUUCACACCCAAAGAGCAGAGAUGGUCCACUGAGGCACCACGAGGAAACUGAGUUUUGCAUCUACGAAGAGAUGGGUGCACACACGACCAAGAUGAAGUAGAAGUGCCAGCUGACCGCGCUCUUCCUCCCCAGGCACAGUGGGGUGUGGGCACUGGGGGCAAGCAGAGCUUCUCUGGUAACUCCCAACUGCCCACCACUAUGGGCACUGCAUGGAGCUCAUCGCAUCGUGCCUGGGAAUACACAGGCAGGUCAGGCUGCUCCAGGCGGGCACCAGCCUCAUUUGACACACUCCUCUGGGGCCAUGCAUCACAUCUAAUGUGCCUUCUUCGAGGAAAAAAACUGUCAUUUACAAUAUAUUUAUAAUUAAUGCACACUUGGAAGUGUUUUACGAUCCUGAAUUAUGCACUGCUUCAGUCGCUAUACUUUGGGGCUGUGCUCAUCCCUGCAAGGACAGCAUGGACCGCUGGAGCUGCUGAGCCCAUCCCCGGGGCAGAUGGCACAGCUAAGGACGAGGUUUCCAAAGCCAGCUAUUUCCAGGAGCUUCCUCAGCACUCGCACCUGGUGGGUGCUGCCUUCAGCUCAGCGCUGUCCUGGGGAGCUCAGGCUCAGCACAGCACGUUUCUCUAUUGAGGCUGUGUCAGAGAGAACCAUUGCUCCUUGCUGACAACCCCGAUGGCGUUUCCAGAGCUGGAGGCCUGUCCGCUUCGUGAUGCACUGCGUUCCCGUCCUUCACCCCCUGAUGGUGCCAGAUUUAAUUAAGAGCCGCCCCUGCUGGCUCCAGCUGCAGCGGAGGACAGUGAUGGAGGCUGAGCCAAUUACCUGUGACAGCAGCACGUGUGAGCUCUGAGUAACGCUCACGCCCCAGGUGUGCGCCCAGGGCUGCUCCUGCGGGGGUGAUGUCCCCAGGACCAAUCCUGAGACAGAAAUUAAAUAGACUUAUGGUAUCGUCGCUUCUAU